rfam:Populus trichocarpa scaffold_2_contig_149, whole genome shotgun sequence.
UAUAGAACUCGAGAUAUAGGCUAAACACCGAAUAAUGUCUAAGCUGCAAGAUAAAUUAAGACUUUUAUUUUGUUGCUAAGAUUUGAACUUGAAAACAACAAUAUUGAAUCUUGGACUCUUCAUGAAUGUUUUAGGGUCAUGUCUUAGCUUUCAUC